GAUGAACGCUGGCGGCGUGCCUAAUACAUGCAAGUCGAGCGAACAGACGAGGAGCUUGCUUCUCUGAUGUUAGCGGCGGACGGGUGAGUAACACGUGGAUAACCUACCUAUAAGACUGGGAUAACUUCGGGAAACCGGAGCUAAUACCGGAUAAUAUUUUGAACCGCAUGGUUCAAUAGUGAAAGACGGUUUUGCUGUCACUUAUAGAUGGAUCCGCGCGGCAUUAGCUAGUUGGUAAGGUAACGGCUUACCAAGGCAACGAUGCGUAGCCGACCUGAGAGGGGGAUCGGCGACACUGGAAAUGAGACACGCGGCAGACACCCACGGGGGGGACAGGAGUGGAGUAUUCCGCAAUGGGCGAAAGCGUGACGCGGCAAAGCGCCGUGAGAGAGGAGGAUCUCCGCAUCGUAAAACUCUGUGUUUAGGGAGAAACAAAUGUGUAUGAGAAAAUGCACGUAUUGACGGUACCUAAACAGAGAACGACGGCUAACUACGUG
rnacentral:rRNA from 1 species